rnacentral:rRNA from 1 species
AAACUAAGGAAGUUGAAAUAACAAAACUGCUCGCCAGAGAACUACUAGCCAAAGCUUAAAACUCAAAGGACUUGGCGGUACCUUAUACCCACCUAGAGGAGCCUGUUCUAUAAUCGAUACUCCCCGCUAAACCUCACCAGUCCUUGCUAACUCAGUCUAUAUACCGCCAUCUUCAGCAAACCCUAAAAAGGCUAUAUAGUAAGCACAAGUGUAUUACACAAAAACGUUAGGUCAAGGUGUAGCUUAUGGGCUGGAAAGAAAUGGGCUACAUUUCCUACUAAAGGUUACCAAAUACUUAACCUACGAAAAUUGCCGUGAAACCAGCAAUUGAAGGCGGA